AUACGGAGGGUGCAAGCGUUAUUCGGAAUCACUGGGCGUAAAGGACGCGUAGGCGGGUUGGCAAGUCAGAUGUGAAAUCCUACAGCUUAACUGUAGAACUGCAUUUGAAACUGCUAACCUAGAGUAUGGGAGGGGGAGAUGGAAUUAGUGGUGUAGGGGUAAAAUCCGUAGAUAUCACUAGGAAUACCGAAAGCGAAGGCGAUCUCCUGGAACAUAACUGACGCUAAGGCGUGAAAGCGUGGGUAGCAAACAGGAUUAGAAACCCUUGUAGUCC
rnacentral:rRNA from 1 species